GACGAACGCUGGCGGCGUGCUUAACACAUGCAAGUCGAACGGAAAGGCCCUGCUUUUGUGGGGUGCUCGAGUGGCGAACGGGUGAGUAACACGUGAGUAACCUGCCCUUGACUUUGGGAUAACUUCAGGAAACUGGGGCUAAUACCGGAUAGGAGCUCCUGCUGCAUGGUGGGGGUUGGAAAGUUUCGGCGGGUGGGGAUGGACUCGCGGGUUAUCAGCUUGUUGGUGGGGUAGUGGCUUACCAAGGCUUUGACGGGUAGCAGGCCUGAGAGGGUGACCGGCCACAUUGGGACUGAGAUACGGACCAGACUCGUACGGGAGGCAGCAGUGGGGAAUAUUGCACAAUGGGCGGAAGCCUGAUGCAGCAACGCCGCGUGCGGGAUGACGGCCUUCGGGUUGUAAACCGCUUUCGCCUGUGACGAAGCGUGAGUGACGGUAAUGGGUAAAGAAGCACCGGCUAACUACGUG
rnacentral:rRNA from 1 species